rnacentral:lncRNA from 1 species
AGUGGCGGCGCGGCGGGGACCGAGAGCUGCGGGCGGGCUGGAGGUACCCCACCGCGGGGUGGUGCUCUGACUGCGGGAACCGUUGAAGAGCUGCCCCCGGGGAGUCAGCGAGGCGCCACUGGUAAGCGGCAGCGGCUGGCUGGCCGGCGUGCCGGCAGCUGGGCUGGCGAGUGUGCGGGCGCCGGGCGCUGGAGGCCCGGGCCGGGGCGGUCCCCGCCCGUCUAUAGUCUCUGAGCCAGCCCCUUCCCUCCCGGGCGCCGGGUCCCCGCCCACAGGCCCACCUGCAGGGCCCCGUGCUCGAAAUAACGCCCAGCUGGUUGGCUUUUUUUUUUUUUUUUUUUCUUUUUCUGGCUCUUGGUCUCUUAGACAUCUUCUCAAGAUUAUGCUAAGAGAAAUGACUGCACCCUUUUCCUGAGCUAUGGCAGUCAGACCUGGCAGUGGUAACUACUCUACAGAACUCCCAAACCUGGCAAGGAUGGUGCAGAUUUUGGCAGAUUAUGGCUUUGUCCCCACCCAGCACUGAUGAUAUUAUAAAACCUAUACUACAAGAAAUGAUAAUGGAAGUUCUUCAACUGAGCAAGAAAUGAUAUUAACAGAAAACUUGGAUCUUCAGAAGCAAAUGAAGAACAUCAGAAAUGCAACUUUCAUUGUUAGAGAGAGGAGAGAGAGAGAAGCCUUGUUGGUUGACGUCACUUGGUUCAUGAAGCCUUCGCCUAGAAGUGAAGCUGCUGAACAAACCUUGAGAAGAAUCAUCUCCUGCUUCAAUCUGCUGCUGGAUAGGAACUAAUCAGAGAGAGAGAGGCGGAAGACGGAGAAGGAGGGAGUCGAAGGCUUUCCCGAUCACAAAUCUCACCUCCACUACAACUCUCUUUAUACUUUUCUUGCAGAAAUAAUAAUAGAAAUAAGGAGGUGGUGGGGUUUCCAAAAAUCUUAACCUUCAACCAUCUGGGGAAAAGGCAAAAAUCCCAUCUACCGCAACUCUCAGUUCGAGAGUAAAGGUUUCCCAACAGUGAUGUCACAAGAUUGACCACAUUGAUCACAUUGUAGUAUUGAUAUUCAGUAAGGAAAGAGACAUGAAGAAAGCUAUCAGAUGGAAAGUUGUUUGGUCUCAAAGAUUCUGCCUGACAGCACAUUCCUAGGUAGGAAUUUUUAGCCAUUUAUUCAUUUAGUCAUUAUAUUGUAUGCUUCACAUACUGUCACUCAUUCACUCAUUUAUUCAUUCUACAAAUAAUUUAUGGAGUGCUGCUUGUGUGUUUCCACUGUCUAGAUAUUGGGGUUACUGUGGUCAAUAAGAUGAAGUUUCUUCUGUCAUUAAGUUUACUUUCUACUGGGGAGAAGUAAACAAAUAUAUAAGUAAAAUAUUCUCAAUUAUUGAUAAGAGCUCCAAACAGGGAUGGAGGAAGGAAAAUGUGAUAGCAUAUACAGGUAGUCAGGUAGAAUUGAGGGCAACAUACAUAUAACAGUCAGGGAAGGUCUCCCUGAUGAGGUAACACUUGUGUUGAGAAAUGAAUCACCAGAAAGAGCCAGGUGUCGUGUUGUGAAAAUCAGAGGUUAUAGUGAUCACAGUGCCAGUGAGGCUGGAAUGUAGUGAGCUGUGGGAAUAAAGGUAGGCAGAUAUCAUUUAAAAAAAAAGUUUAAGCUUCUUUCUAAUGUGAAGAGAAGCCACUGGAAGAUGUUUCAUUUGAUUUUAGUUUUUUAAAUUAAAUACAGACAGGGUCUCAGUAUGUUGCUGAGGCUGGUCUUGAACUCCUGGGCUCAAGCAGUCCUCUUAUCUCAGCCUUUGACUCCAAGUGCUGGGAUUACAGGCAUGAGCCACCAUGGCUAGCCUGGAAGAUUUUUUUGGUUGGUUGAUUUUAAUAAUCCCUCCACCACCAUGUUUAAUUUGAGACUGUUUCAUAUUCAGCUUUUCUCCUAGUGGAGAUUUUUAUGGAGGACACUAGUACAUAAAUGGUAUUAAAGCAUUAUUAUAAAUUCUUUAUGCUGUGUAUGAAUUUAUAUUUUUGGUUGCAUUCUUCUGUGUUGCCCCUAAAUUAUUUGCCCUUGCUGGCAUAUUUAAGAAACUUCCAUUAUCUUGAAGAGAAAUUCAUGGUUAUGAUUUAUUCCUUGAUUUAAUAAGCAUUAUGUUCUUUUUGAGUUACUUACUAAAUUUAUAAAAGUAGAAAAUGCACUGUUCUUCUUUUCUUCAUUAGGAGCUUAUCUUCUACUGGAGAGACAGACACAUAAACUGGUCAUUAUAGCUGUGGUAGAUGGCACAGUAGAGGUGUAUGUUUAAUGUUUUUUGACUAUAGAAAGCAUGAUAUGAUCCUUAUGGGUGGGAAAGGCCACAUCAAAAAUAUUCACUCUAUGGAGAUUUCCGCCCCCUGCGUUUUGAAGCAGAGUAUAGGUAUCACUAUUUGAACAGUGAUGCUGAUGCUGCAAAAAAUAUGUAAAAACAGUUUAUGUUUUCCAACUUUAUAGGAAAAUAAAGUAGUAUCUGUCUUAAGACACAUGGAAAAGUUGAAUUCUCUUGGAAGUAGAGAGUGAAAAAGCGUUAUGUUGCAUUUUGUUACUGUUGUCCUCUUCCCCUUCCUUUUUCCCUCAUCCCUUUUCUUUUGUAUUUGUAAGUUUACAUAAGGUGAGAAGAUAAAAUGUUAAAAGUUUUGAAGGCAGGCUUCAUAGCAAAUUUUGCCACUAUGUUUUUUGAGUAUUGGGCUGUAUGAUUAUAAACAAAGGAAUUGAUUUAUCUCUGAUCAUGUGAUAAUGUCCUCUGUUGGUCCUCAACUGGGUGCCUAGAUCUUUCCCCAAUUCAAAACCCUAGGUAUAGAUAUACAAUGCUUUUUUGCCAUAAUAUUAAGCAGACACUUUCAUAAGUAAGACACACCAGAGUGGUACAUGAGAAUGCCUGUACAACUGGAAUGGGCAACAUGACCAUAGAGAAAAUGAUGUGAUUUUUAAGUGUGUUUGCCAAGAAGCAGGAGGAAGGCUCUUAGAAAGUUAAAUCUAGUCAGAUUCCUAAAAUGAAAAUGCAGUUACAAAUAAAUGCAGAGUACCACAUGCAAGGAUUAAAUCAAAAAAGACUGUGGUGUUGUGCAAAUAUUUCAUAUAUACAGUGAGUAUUAAAAGAAAUGAUAAAAACAGCAGACAUAGCAGAAUUUCAGGUGAAGAUCAGAAGCCUUUCUAUAAAAUUGACCUUUAAAGUUAAUUGCACAUACAGGAGUUCGAGUCCAGCCUGGGCAACAUGGUGAAAGCCCUGUUUCUACUAAAAAUACAAAAAUUAGCCAGACAUGGUGGUGCGUACCUGUAGUCUCAGCAACCAGAGAGGCUGAGGUGGGAGGAUCCCUUGAACCCAGGAGACAGAGGUUGCGGUGAGCCAAGAUCGGGCCACUGCACUGCAGCCUGAGCAACAGAGUGAGACUCCUCCUAAACAAACAAACAAACAAAAAAGUUAAUUGCACAUAGUAUUUACUCAUGAAACCAGCCUCUUCCUACAGAAGACAAUUUCUAACAUAGAAAGGAUUUCAUGAGACUGAGGAAGAGGACAAUAGGCUCCUAAAAAAAGAUGGUAGAUUAACAUACACACUUACUUCAGCUAACUGUUGAAGCCCCAUUAAUUAUAUAGGAAAAAAAAAUUUUCAAAAAGGCAUAAGCAAAGAAACAGGAGAAGAAUGAAUACCAACAAAAUUCUGGAAGCUGGAGAGCAAUAGAUAAAUAGUAACUGAUUUAUCAGAUUGAGAGAACCGAAUAACUGAAUUAUCAGAUGACAGUGAAGAAAGCCUAGAAAAAACAGUUUACACAUUUGAAACUCCGAAAGGCUCAGCAAUUAGCAGUUGUGUGUAUCUCUAGAAUGGGCAGGAGGGAAGAAGAAGGUUAUAGUUAUAGGUACAGGCGAAGCUCUACAUAUAAAAACUAUAUGAAAAUGGGAAAUGUUUAUUAAACAUUCAUUAAACAUACAAAGUCUGUUCAAUUAGUUAGAUUCCUCAGUCUCCUCCACUUAACACAGACAGGUAACAGUGCCUCAUUUAUCCCUUUAUCCAGAAGAAGACUGAAAGUCAGACCUUUGGGGAUGUACAGUUCAAUCACAUUGGUGUACGGUCAUCACCACCAUCCAUCUCCAGAAUUCUUUUCAUCUUUCAAAACUAAAAGUCUAUGCACAUUAAACAAUAAUGCCUCAUGACCACUUUCCCCUGGCCCUUGGUGACCCACCAUUUUACUUCCUGUCUCUAUGAUUUUGACUACUGUAAGUACCUCGUAUAUGUGAGAUCAUACAGUAUUUGUCUUUUUGUUACUGGAUUGUUUCACUUAGUAUCAUGUCCUUGAAGUUUCAUGCAUGUUGUAGCAUGUGCCAGAAUGUCCUUUCGUUUUAAGGCUGAAUGAUACUCCUGUGUGUGUGUGUAUGCCAUAUUUUAUUUACUCAUUCAUCUGUGGAUGGACUCUUGGGUUGCUUUUGCCUCUUCACUAUCGUGAUAUCGACAUUUUAAAGUGAUAUUUUUAUUUUGUUUAUUAAACAUAGAUUAAAUUUUGCUGUACCACAUGUAAAUAUUAAAGAUUGCUUUCGUUUGCUGAUGUUUGAAGUUCUUUCAAUGUCAACAAAUAAACUGGUUUGUUUUUGUAAUUUUUGUCGUAAUUCAGAAAACAUAAUUGUAUCCACUUUGGUUAUUAUAUAAAAGUAAUUAUCAUUACUUUUUUUCUUAACAUUGGUUUUUGAAAUAAAAAAGACAUCUUGAUGUGCCAUGUAAAAACUUUGAGCAGUUACACGCAACUGAAGAAUUUAGCGAAGAUCUUCUUCCUUCAUUGGCUUUCAUUUUCCUAUUAGUUCACCUCAUGCUUCUAUUCUUUCAACAAAUUUUAAAAUGCAAAAAAUUCAGAACCAUCGUGGUAGCUAUCUCCGUGUGACACAGGGAUUGAACACUCUGAUCUGAUUGCCACUCACUAACACACAUGGUAUGCAUUUAAAUUUCUCAGCCUGUUCUUUCUGGGUUACUGAGAAAUACUCUUAUUUUAUUUAUUAUUAGAAAUACAAAUUUAAAUACGCUAUUAUUUCAUUAAAAAUAUGAACACUUAGAAAAUUUUCCAUUUAAAGUAUUUGAUUGUGGCUGAUCUGAGAGCCCUGGUGUUUACACCUAAUUGUUCACAACCAGUGACAGAUUUCUUUGUUUUUUUCUCCACUCCCACUA